GGUGGGAAGUGUUUAGUAAGACAGAAAAGAACAUCACUCUGAAAAUGAUAAGAUUGGAUGGCUGAGGGUGAAAGAAAGUUGGAGGACGGAGGGAGGGAAGGAGAGAGGAAAUGAAGGGAAGAGGGCUUAUUUAGAGCUGAAAUGAGCUGGGCUCUGGGUGAGGCACUUUCACACGCCUCCUGUGGAAGAGGGAACAGAGCUCGUGUAGAUGAUGGAGGCAGAAAGGACAGAAACGGGCUCUGUGAGGCUCCUACUGGAUUGCCAGGGCAGUGCUGGCCUUAUUAUCCUGCUACAUGGGAAUUCCUUGACGUUAGCACCGCAGCCUCCUCCUGCCUUUCCUACUGACUACUAGCACAGUCUCUGGCUACCAGAGCCAGUAAUUUGGCCAAUUUAAUGGAGGAUUUGACUUCAGAACUCCUUGGACUUGAGGGGAGUUCAGGGAUGUUAAGUGAUCUCCAUGGACUCCUUGAUUCCAGUCGUCGAAGCCAAUGCACUUAUUCAGCAUCUAUUUCACCCCAGGAC
rnacentral:lncRNA from 1 species